rnacentral:rRNA from 1 species
AUACGAAGGGGGCUAGCGUUGUUCGGAAUUACUGGGCGUAAAGCGCAUGUAGGCGGACAUUUAAGUCAGGGGUGAAAUCCCGGGGCUCAACCUCGGAACUGCCUUUGAUACUGGGUGUCUAGAGUGUGGAAGAGGUAAGUGGAAUUCCGAGUGUAGAGGUGAAAUUCGUAGAUAUUCGGAGGAACACCAGUGGCGAAGGCGCCUAACUGGAACGGACCUGACGGUGAGUAACGAAAGCCAGGGGCGC